rnacentral:ncRNA from 1 species
UUUGAUUCAUUGAAAAGGAAAGUAAUUCGCUUUUGGCGCAUAGAGAGAUGUUGGUUGGUGGAAAGCAUCGAAUAAAAGCAAAUGAAGAUGGCCUUUGAGAAUCUCUUGGUGAUAGGUAGUCAAGAGCGGGUGUAUUCCGUUAUCAAGUAACCUGAUGUAUUCAGGAAGAGUGGGGAAAGUCUAUUUCCCAAAAAAGGUGGUACCACGAUUAUUCGUCCUUUGA